rnacentral:rRNA from 1 species
CUUGCUAAUUAGAGACCGGCGCACGGGUGCGUAACGCGUAUGCAAUCUAGCCUUUCACAGAGGGAUAGCCCAGAGAAAUUUGGAUUAAUACCUCAUNGUAUAAUGAGUUGGCAUCAACCCAUUAUUAAAGUCACAACGGUGAAAGAUGAGCAUGCGUCCCAUUAGCUAGUUGGUAUGGUAACGGCAUACCAAGGCAACGAUGGGUAGGGGUCCUGAGAGGGAGAUCCCCCACACUGGUACUGAGACACGGACCAGACUCCUACGGGAGGCAGCAGUGAGGAAUAUUGGACAAUGGGCGCAAGCCUGAUCCAGCCAUGCCGCGUGCAGGAUGACGGUCCUAUGGAUUGUAAACUGCUUUUGCACAGGAAGAAACAACAUUACGUGUAAUGUCUUGACGGUACUGUGAGAAUAAGGAUCGGCUAACUCCGUGCCAGCAGCCGCGGUAAUACGGAGGAUCCAAGCGUUAUCCGGAAUCAUUGGGUUUAAAGGGUCCGUAGGCGGUCUUAUAAGUCAGUGGUGAAAUCUCCCCGCUCAACGGGGAAACGGCCAUUGAUACUGUAGGACUUGAAUUAUUAGGAAGUAACUAGAAUAUGUAGUGUAGCGGUGAAAUGCUUAGAGAUUACAUGGAAUACCAAUUGCGAAGGCAGGUUACUACUAAUGGAUUGACGCUGAUGGACGAAAGCGUGGGUAGCGAACAGGAUUAGAUACCCUGGUAGUCCACGCCGU